AAUGUUUGAUGUUCUAACGUUGACCCGUAAUCCGGGUUGCGGACAGUGUCUGGUGGGUAGUUUGACUGGGGCGGUCUCCUCCUAAAGAGUAACGGAGGAGCACGAAGGUUGGCUAAUCCUGGUCGGACAUCAGGAGGUUAGUGCAAUGGCAUAAGCCAGCUUGACUGCGAGCGUGACGGCGCGAGCAGGUGCGAAAGCAGGUCAUAGUGAUCCGGUGGUUCUGAAUGGAAGGGCCAUCGCUCAACGGAUAAAAGGUACUCCGGGGAUAACAGGCUGAUACCGCCCAAGAGUUCAUAUCGACGGCGGUGUUUGGCACCUCGAUGUCGGCUCAUCACAUCCUGGGGCUGAAGUAGGUCCCAAGGGUAUGGCUGUUCGCCAUUUAAAGUGGUACGCGAGCUGGGUUUAGAACGUCGUGAGACAGUUCGGUCCCUAUCUGCCGUGGGCGCUGGAGAACUGAGGGGGGCUGCUCCUAGUACGAGAGGACCGGAGUGGACGCAUCACUGGUGUUCGGGUUGUCAUGCCAAUGGCACUGCCCGGUAGCUAAAUGCGGAAGAGAUAAGUGCUGAAAGCAUCUAAGCACGAAACUUGCCCCGAGAUGAGUUCUCCCUGACUCCUUGAGAGUCCUGAAGGAACGUUGAAGACGACGACGUUGAUAGGCCGGAUGUGUAAGCGCAGCGAUGCGUUGAGCUAA
rnacentral:rRNA from 1 species